rnacentral:rRNA from 1 species
GACAGAGGUGCCGAGCGUUAGGCGGAAUCACUGGGCUUAAAGCGUGUGUAGGCGGGUCCGUAAGUACCUUGUGAAAUCCCACGGCUCAACCGUGGAACUGCUUGGUAUACUGCGGGUCUUGAGCCACCUAGGGGCAAGCGGAACAAACGGUGGAGCGGUGAAAUGCGUAGAGAUCCGGAGGAACACCAAAGGCGAAGGCAGUGUCCUGGGGAGUACCUGACGCUCAGGUGCGAAAGCCAGGGGAGCGAACGGG